UGAAACCCUAGUCUUUCACUUGCUCGAUUGUUCAUUGCUCACGCACGGCUUCACCACUUCCUUCACGCACGGCUUCACCUCUGUUCACCCAUUGUUCAAUUGCUCCCUCCACCAAACCACCAAGCAGAAGCAGGAUUUUUCAUACACUUGGAUGCAACGUUCAUAGCCCAGUGGCAUUUUUUAGCAAGGAAUUGCCAGCUAGUUGCGACGUGUUAUAAGAUUCAAUUUUAUCCGAUCCAAAUCUCCUAACUGAUCCAAACAUAUCCAAUGUUGCCCAGGCUCCACAAAAUUUCUGGAUCCGCCACUGAU